GUGAAGUGGCAGCUUUUAUUUGCAGUGCACACUACAUUUCAUAGUCUGGAAAUUCUCACUAGAAAAAUCAGAAAACCAAAUUACUUCUUCCUAUGGUGUUUUAUGGCUGAGUCAAGCCACUUUUGUAUGUAAAAGUAGCAUUUUCAUUGCAUUCAGUGGUAUAAGAUAAGGCUGUAGAAUUGUGCAACAAACCUGCCAGCUAUAAAAGCUUUUAGAUAAUAAACUUUUUGAUUUUUUUUUUUUAAUGCAAGUAAAUCCCCACCUACUAGCCGUUACUGCAAUUGAGUCUACCUACACCUGUGCCUACUUCUACAGGUGCUGGGGGUUGCAAUCUCAUUGAGUGACUAUCAAAAGGCUAUGAGCAAUCUGUACUACCUGAGUAUGAAAGGGGGUUGUUGAAAGAAAGUUCCCUAGGUGCUAUUUAGGGGUGAUCCAAGAAGAGAAACAAGGUGUGAAUAAGAAGCAAUGUGAGCAGAGGAGUUGUAAAUAGGCUGGUGGCCUCCAGUUCUCCUUCUGUCUAAUGAGAGUGAGGAAUUGACAGUAUUUAUUGUAAGAUAUCCUUAACUCAUGAGAGGGUAUGAGAAGAGGUCUUUUCUGUCCUCAUAUUGGGAAAAAAUGAACCGGCCAUUACAGCAAGAAACACUGAAACAUUUCAUUCAUGAGUGGGAUCAAAUUUGCGUAAUGCCUGCCAAGCCUCCACCAGGAAAGGAACUGCCAAUAGCCACUGGAGUAAAAGAUGAUCAGAGUUCCAAUAUGGCCAUGCUGUUGAAAGGGAAGCACUGAAUACACAGCUCAUUUAUCAAGGCAAAAGUGUUUAACUAUGACCUUAAGCACAUGCUGCUGCUUGUUAGUUUAACUGAAGCUACACAAACAUGAUAAAAGAUCUGCAAGAAGAUAAUUUCCUUUGAAAAUCACAGCCAAAUCUAGAUUUCUUGUAAUGGCCAUACCUCAUGAUAUAUUUUUCACUAGUCCUGAGGAAAAAGGAAAACAAAAAAAAAAACAAAAAAAAAAAAACAUGGAAGAGCUAUCUCACACUUUUUAGCCAAGGGUUCUGAGUACCACCAACUGGGUCAUUACUGAGAAGCUUGUGUAUUUACACUUUAUCACGCUAGUUGGCAGUCAUACCCAAAGAAAAGGACCUGAAUAUAGAGUUGAGAAAGGGCACUUGUUCUGCCAGCAAAGCAAGGUGCAUUGUGCAAAAGUACUUUGACAAUCAAUUAUUAAGUAUACAGAGAUGACAACUCAUAUACAUGUAUAUAAAUCGAUAACCUUUGGGCACUUAAUCCCCAGGGAUCACAGCAGACAGUGACGAAAAGUAUCAAGGUCAGUUAUAAUGAAGUCAAAGUGAUGAAGAACAGAUGCAACCUGCUCUAGCCCUAAGAAAGCACCCAUUAAAGUUGUGGUGAAAAUUUUAUUUUUCUUUAGCGAAAUUGCAAUAUAAUAUCUCACUAUUAGUAUCUGAAAGUAAAGUUCAUAUUCAAGA